ACUGUAGAUUUCCCUUAAUUUUCCCCAGAAAAGAAGAGCCAAAAUAUCAUGGUAGCAGUGCAAGAAGAAAUUGUGAUUGUAGGAGCUGGAAUUGCUGGCCUUACAACAUCCUUAGGACUUCAUAGGUUGGGCAUUCGAAGCUUAGUAUUGGAGUCCUCGAGUAGUUUGAGGAUCACAGGAUUUGCCUUCACAACAUGGACAAAUGCUUGGAGGGCCUUAGAUGCUGUUGGCCUCGGUGACUCGCUCUGACAACAUCAUCAACGGCUUUGUGGGAAUGUGGCUACCUUUACAAUUUCAGGACUUCAAACCACAAAGAUGUCAUUUGAAGCCAA